rnacentral:rRNA from 1 species
CGCUGGAGGCCCCAGGGUGGGACCGCGGCCUAUCAGGGAGUAGGUGGGGUAACGGCCCACCUAGCCUACGACGGGUACGGGCCCUGAGAGGGGGAGCCCGGAGUAUGGGCACUGAGACAAGGGUCUAGGCCCUAGGGGGCGGAGCAGGCGCGAAGAUUCCGCAAUGCCCGAAAGGGCGACGGAGUGAACCCGAGUGCCACCCGCUGAGGGUGGCUGUUCCCCUGUGUAAAAAGCAGGGGGCAGGAAGGGGAGGGCAAGGCUGGUGGCAGCCGCCGCGGUAAAACCAGCUCCCCGAGGGGUUCCCACGCAUACUGGGCCUAAAGCGUCCGUAGCCGGCCCUGUAAGUCUGCAGUUAAAUCCGCCUGUAGACAGGCGGGUUGCUGCAGAUACUGCAGGGCUAGGGAGCGGGAGGAGCCGGGGGUAUUCCCGGGGGAGCGGUAAAAUGCGUAGAUCCCGGGAGGACCACCAGUGGCGAAGGCGCCCGGCUUGAACGCGUCCGACGGUGAGGGACGAAAGCUGGGGGAGCAAACCGGAUUAGAUACCCGGGUAGUCCCAGCCGUAAACGAUGCCGGCUAGGUGCUGGCCAAGGUUUCGGCCUUGGCCAGUGUCGAAGCGAAGGCAUUAAGCCGGCCGCCUGAGGAGUACGGCCGCAAGGCUGAAACUUGAAGGAAUUGACGGGGGGGCACCACAAGGGGUGAAUGCCUGCGGCUUAAUUGGACUCAACGCCGGGAAUCUUACCGGGGGCGACAGCAGGAUGAAGGUCAGGCUGAAGACCUUACCAGACGCGCUGAGGGGUGGUGCAUGGCCGUCACCAGCUCGUGCCGUGAGGUGUCCUGUUAAUUCAGGCAACGAGCGAGACCCCCGCCCCUAGUUGCCAGCGGCCUCCUUCGGGAGGGACCGGGCAAACUAGGGGGACCUCCUCCGAAGAGGAGGAGGAAGGUGGGGGAUACGCCAGGUCAGUAUUCCCCUAAUCCCCCCGGCCGCACGCGGC